rnacentral:rRNA from 1 species
UGGGGAAUAUUGCGCAAUGGGGGGAACCCUGACGCAGCCAUGCCGCGUGAAUGAAGAAGGCCUUCGGGUUGUAAAGUUCUUUCGGUAUUGAGGAAGGUUGAUGUGUUAAUAGCACAUCAAAUUGACGUUAAAUACAGAAGAAGCACCGGCUAACUCCGUGUCAGCAGCCGCGGUAAUACGGAGGGUGCGAGCGUUAAUCGGAAUAACUGGGCGUAAAGGGCACGCAGGCGGUUAUUUAAGUGAGGUGUGAAAGCCCUGGGCUUAACCUAGGAAUUGCAUUUCAGACUGGGUAACUAGAGUACUUUAGGGAGGGGUAGAAUUCCACGUGUAGCGGUGAAAUGCGUAGAGAUGUGGAGGAAUACCGAAGGCGAAGGCAGCCCCUUGGGAAUGUACUGACGCUCAUGUGCGAAAGCGUGGGGAGCAAACAGGAUUAGAUACCCUGGUAGUCCACGCUGUAAACGCUGUCGAUUUGGGGAUUGGGCUUAGAGCUUGGUGCCCGUAGCUAACGUGAUAAAUCGACCGCCUGGGGAGUGCGGCCGCAAGGUUA